AAGCUUGUCGAGCGCGUCACAGCAGGCAGGCCUGGGCCCCUCGGCUGGAUGGUUUCUCAGCGGCCCUGGGUGUCAUGGAGCCACACUCUGGCAGGCUCGAGCUCAAGGCUCGCUGCGAGGAGCUGCAGCUGGACUGGGCCACGCUGUCGCUGGAGAAGCUGUUGAAGGAGAAGCAGGCCCUGAAGAGCCAGAUCUCGGAGAAGCAGAGGCACUGCCUGGAGCUGCAGAUCAGCAUUGUGGAGCUAGAGAAGAGCCAGCGGCAGCAGGAGCUCCUGCAGCUCAAGUCCUGUGUGCCGCCUGACGAUGCCCUGUCCCUGCACCUGCGUGGGAAGGGCGCCCUGGGCCGCGAGCUGGAGCCUGACGCCAGCCGGCUGCACCUGGAGCUGGACUGCACCAAGUUCUCGCUGCCUCACUUGAGCAGCAUGAGCCCGGAGCUCUCCAUGAACGGCCAGGCUGCUGGCUAUGAGCUCUGCGGUGCGCUGAGCCGGCCUCCGUCGAAGCAGAACACGCCCCAGUACCUGGCCUCACCCCUGGACCAGGAGGUGGUGCCCUGUACCCCUAGCCACGUCGGCCGGC
rnacentral:sRNA from 1 species